AGUUAAUGAACUUGUUAAAGUUUAUAUUUUGAAAAUAUACCAAAGAAUUUAUUUUCUAUUAACUU
rnacentral:tRNA from 1 species